CACGUAGGCGGACUUUUAAGUCAGGGGUGAAAUCCCGGGGCUCAACCUCGGAACUGCCUUUGAUACUGGUAGACUUGAGUGUGAUUGAGGUAGCUGGAAUGGAUAGUGUAGCGGUGAAAUGCAUAGAUAUUAUCCAGAACACCGAUUGCGAAGGCAGGUUACUAAGUCAUAACUGACGCUGAGGCACGAAAGUGUGGGGAUCAAACAGGAUUAGAUACCCCAGUA
rnacentral:rRNA from 1 species